GUCCUAUUGGGCCUCUUUCUUGGGCUUGCAGCCAGCAUGGCGGUGGUGUACUCUGAGAACUUCAGACUAGAUAGGCUUUCAGAUCCCUGCUAGCUUUAAAGCUAUGACCCAAGAUCCUAUGAUCCAUACAGAGAAUGCCACAGCUGAAGAGAAAUCACAGAACCAGACCUUCAUGGCUCCCAAGAAUAACCCAUCCUUGAAAUGAGUCUCCACUAAAAGAUAAGGAAACAAAAGUUUGCAGCUUAUUCCAUUGUUGGACAUCUCUGCUGGAAAGGAGGUUCUUUCACAACUGGCUCCCAUGUGACUUCUCCUUGCUGCUAGUUCCACCCUUGGGACUCCAGGAGAAACAUCAAUCCUCAAGCAUCCAUUAAAGGAAUACCAUGUGUUGAGCACUACACUGGGUGCUCAGAAUACAAAGAGUGAAACAAUCCCAGCUUUCAAGGAAGUUCCAUUCCCUUUUUGCACACAGUCCUUGAAAUAUUGGAGGUCAAUCUUUCCACAAGAUCCUUUACUAGUUUGAGUUCAAGUACCCCCCCCAGCUCUAAGCUCACAAGUCGCUGGGCUCCUUAUUACAUGGUAUUUCCAUUACACAACAACCAUGAGGCGAGUCCCAGACCAAGAUCAUUUGGUGAAAAUCUUUGAGAGUUCAAAUAGUCUCAGUAAAGUUCAUUUGUUGGAUGACUUCAAGUGUGGGUUGAGAAGAAAGAAAAGUAUCUAUUUUCUGUGACCAGAAUAAAUCAUUCUUUGGUCAUUCAUUUUAGUUCUUGCUCUAAAUGUGAAUCCCCCACCCUCACGCCAAAACAUCCUUAGCAAAUUUUUCAUCACAGAAGUAAGUCUUGCAGUGUUUUUUUUUCUUUCAUGAGGCUAUACAUUCAAGAUACAGUGAAUGAAAGAUUAGAUGGGACUAAACAAUUAAUGGACAGGAUAGGGGUAGUGAGGAAAAAGGAGUCAAGGAUGAUGCAUAUCACAUGGCUAGAUGACCAUGAGGAAGUUGAUGCACUCAGAAGAAAAGGAAAUUAAGAGUAGGAAACAUUCUCUCACCAAGUGUUCUCUACUUCAAUCCAGCUUCAGAACAUCUUAUAUUGAUUCCAUCCUCCAUGUUGCCACUGUUACCAUCUUAGUAGAGGGUCCCACCCCUAUCCCUUCUUCAAUAAAUCAUUCAUCUUCUGCUUCUAUCCAUUCAUUUCUUUCCUGGUUGGCUUCUUUGAUUGUCAGAUCCAGAUUAUAUGGACAUAACCAGGGAGAAAGA